rnacentral:rRNA from 10 species
AAAUACAGCCAUUCCAUGCUGAACACGCCCGAUCUCGUCUGAUCUCUGAAGCUAAGCACUGUCGGGCCUGGCUACUUGGAUGGGAAACCGCCUGCCAAUACCAGGUGCUGUAAGGG